AUGAUGAGACAGUGCAGGUGGUUAUUGCUAAUGGAGAUGGCUAAGGUGUCAGAAGAGGCCAUCAAAACAAAAGGGAGAAAAGUACCAGGAGCAGCCACCUACAAGAGCUCUUUUAAUAAUGAAUGGACCUCUAAAUGGCCAUUUAUUACUGUAGGAAGCACCAGCUCCUAUUACUGGUGUUCUAUCUGCCGCCAAGAGAACUCCUGUUCCCAUCAAGGUGUGCGGGAUGUGACAAGGCACAUAGAAAGUAAGGGGCAUCAGGUCAAACAGCAGGCACUAAAGUCAACCAGCACAGUCAAAAACUUUUACUUGCCAGUGACUUCAGAAAUGAGUGUGCAAGAGGUCAAGACAAGGAGAGCUGAGGUGAAAGUUGCCGAAGCAAUGGUUCAACACAAUGUUUCAUUUGCUGUGGCAGACCAUUUCAGCCCCUUGUACAGGGAAUGCUUCAAAGACUCUCCCACAACUAAAAAUUUCAAGAGUGCCAGCACAAAAACUAUGUGCAUCAUUAAUCAAGCAGUUGCACCACAUUAUAGAAACGAGCUGGUGUUGAAGAUGAGGGAAAAUCCCUUUACACUGGUCACGGAUGGCUCAAAUGACACAGGACUAGAGAAGAUGAACCCCCUAACUGUAAGGGUAUUUGAUACCACCAAAGUUGUGCACAGAUUCCUCGACAUGUGCACCACAAGUGGAAGAAACUAG
rnacentral:lncRNA from 1 species